rnacentral:rRNA from 1 species
CGUCUAGGCGGUUCGGUAAGUGGGAUGUGAAAUGCCCGGGCUCACCCCGGGACCUGCAUCCCAAACUGCUGAGCUUGAGUACAGGAGAGGGUAGGGGAAUUCCAGGUGUAGCGGUGAAAUGCGUAGAUAUCUGGAGGAACACCGGUGGCGAAGGCGCCUACCUGGCCUGUUACUGACGCUGAAGCGCGAAAGCUAGGGGAGCAAACG